UUGGGNANGUUGCUGGCCUCUUUGGGGGCAAUGUGCACUCCUUGAACAAUUCACAAUUUCCAUCACACCCUUGUGCACAUCUUGUAGGCGCCCGCUCACCUCUCUUGGUCGGGGCGUCCUAUGUAUUCCUUCACCUCACACUUUUAUUGAAUGGUGCUCUUGAACGCAUCUCAUGGAUUAUUUGUAAAAAAAGUAAUCACAGAAACAACUUUCAACAAUGGAUCUCUUGGCUCUCGCAUCGAUGAAGAACGCAGCGAAAUGCGAUACGUAAUGUGAAUUGCAGAAUUCCGUGAAUCAUCGAAUCUUUGAACGCACCUUGCGCCUCUUGGUAUUCCGAGGGGCAUGCCUGUUUGAGUGUCAUUGAAUCCUCAAAAGAAAAAGCUUUAACUGGCUUUCUCUUUUGGAAUUGGAGUGUGCUGGCCUUCUGUUUGGGAAGCCCAGCUCCUCUGAAAUACAUUAGCGAUGUGACAUCCGCAUGGCACCAUGCUUAUCUGGCAUUGAUAGUAUCUUCAUGCCUGAGCGUGUUGUGCAGCUGUGGAAAGUUUCGCUCGCUCAUAGCUCGAUGGGUCAGCCCCAUCCUUUGACCAAUUUAACCUCAAAUCAGGUAGGAUUACCCGCUGAACUUAAGCAUAUC
rnacentral:rRNA from 1 species